ACUGCUCAGUAACACGUGGACAACCUACCCUGAGGUCGGGGAUAAACCCGGGAAACUGGGUAUAAUACCCGAUAGAUCUAGAUUGCUGGAAUGCUUUUAGGUCUAAAGUUCCGGCGCCUCAGGAUGGGUCUGCGGCCUAUCAGGGUAGUAGUGGGUGUAAAGUACCUACUAGCCUACGACGGGUACGGGUUGUGAGAGCAAGAGCCCGGAGAUGGAUUCUGAGACACGAAUCCAGGCCCUACGGGGUGCAGCAGGCGCGAAACCUUUACAAUGCUGGCAACAGCGAUAAGGGGACCUCGAGUGCUACGAUACAAUCGUGGCUGUCUAGUUGCCUAAAAAGCAAUUGAUAGCAAGGGCCGGGCAAGACCGGUGCCAGCCGCCGCGGUAACACCGGCGGCUCGAGUGGUAACCGCUAUUAUUGGGUCUAAAGGGUCUGUAGCCGGCUUAGUUAGUCUCUUGAGAAAUCUGGCCGCUCAACGGUCAGGCGUUCAGGGGAUACUGCUAAAGCUCGAGACCGGGAGAGGUGAGAGGUACUUCAGGGGUAGGGGUGAAAUCUUGUAAUCCUUGAAGGACCACCAGUGGCGAAGGCGUCUCACCAGAACGGAUCUGACGGCAAGGGACGAAAGCUAGGGGCACGAACCGGAUUAGAUACCCGGGUAGUCCUAGCCGUAAACGAUACUCGCUAGGUGUCGGCCACGGUGCGACCGUGGUCGGUGCCGUAGGGAAGCCGUGAAGCGAGCCACCUGGGAAGUACGGCCGCAAGGCUGAAACUUAAAGGAAUUGGCGGGGGAGCAC
rnacentral:rRNA from 1 species